CCCUCCCACUUGAUUAACAAAACAAAAUCACAUGCACUUACUCCAUAUCUAUGGACACCUCUUUCUCAUUUCCUUUCACACUUGACCUCUUACUUCUAAGCAUCUUCUUCUUCUUCUUCUUCACCCUCAUCUCAUCACUCGAUCUCACCACAGAUCAACGAGCUCUACUGGCUUUCAAAAAACGCAUAACGUUGGACACAAAUAAUGUCCUAACCAGCAACUGGCUCACCAACACCUCUGUCUGCGACUGGACCGGCGUCUCGUGCGGCGCCAAACACCACCGCGUCACCGCCCUCAAUCUCUCCGGCCUCGCCCUCGGCGAAACCCUUGCCCCGCAUCUCGGAAACCUAACGUUCCUCCGGCGAGUAUUUAUCGAUGCACGGAGCUGGAGGAUCUGCGGUUGGCCUACAACCAGUUCAGCGGCGAGAUUCCAUCUGAGAUUGGGAAUCUGACCAUGCUUACGAUGUUAUCUACAUAUGCAAACGAUCUCCAAGGAAAUAUUCCACCUUCUAUCUUCAACAUUUCUUCGUUGGAACUGAUGUAUCUCUCCAUCAAUAAUCUGUCUGGAAGCAUCCCCACGAAUAUGGACAAUUUACCCAACCUCCAACAGUUGUAUCUUAGUGAAAACAACUUAAUUAACAGCUAUGCGUUCCUUUCAUCUUCAAAUAAGUGUUAUUUUCGAAUAAAUGUCAUAUUUACAGUUUCGACAAAUUAAUUACUGGAGUAUGAAUUA